CCUUCUGGUAAUCCUCAUUGGUUUUGUACUAGUUCUCUUCCACAGCAACAACAUCAAAUUUACCUAUGCAACAAGCAGAUUAGUAUUAUUAGAUGAAAACAAUAAUAAGCCAGAAAAAUUUUCUUCACUUCCUCAACAACCCAUUUUCCCAAUUGCACCACUUCAACAAAACACACCUUCAUUUAUGCUCCCAACAUUGCCAUCUUUGCCACAACAACCAAUCGGUAACAAUAACAUCAACAAUGGUUUCAUGAACACACCAACUUUUUCACUUCCAACAUUGCCACCUCUACCCAAAUUGCCUCCUUUACCUUCUCUUCCAAUUAUGCCCUUUCCUACUUUACCAUCUAAUAAUGCCAUUCCUUCAUUUCCUUCUUCUGUUGCACCUCCAAGACCUUCCCCUCUUGGCUUACAUCAUCAUGGAGGAGAAGAUGAUACAAAUUAAAUUUCACCCGUGAACACUCAACAAUUAACAAAAUAAACUUUUUAGAGUUUACUUCAUAUAUUGAUACGUUUAUAUAUAAACUAAUAUUUGUUUAGAUACGUCAAACGUACUAAAAUGCUAAAGAAAUAGAUUAAACACAAACAACUUGAAGGGAGUAUUUUAUGUUGCGUUCGAUCUAAUUAGAACUUUCUCGCCAUAUUUUUUGUGACAGUUAGUAUAUUAAGGACGGAGAUAUUGUUUGCAUUAUUCAUGUUGUAACUGUAUUUCCUAUGUAUUCUGUGAUUAAUAAAAACC
rnacentral:lncRNA from 1 species